AUUCUUAGGUUGUAACUGGGUUAUAGCUUUCAUGUGAAAGCCCCAAAUUAGUUUCAUAGUAGGGCUGAGUACAUUGGAUACUUUUUCUUCCAUUUUUGAGAUACUUUACUAAGAAUAAUAUACUUGAGAUACUUCCAUUCUUGAGAUACUUUAUUAAGAAUAAUCCACGUAAACAUGAAAGAGGUAAAGUCUCCAUCUUUCUUUAAGGCUGCAUAAUAUUCCAUGGUGUACAUAUACCACAAUUUAUUAAUCCAUUCGUGGAUCGAUGGGCACUUGGGCUUUUCCAUGAUUCAGCAAUUAUGAAUAGGGCUGCAAUAAACAUUCUGGUACAAAUAUCUUUGUUAUGAUGUGAUUUUUGGUCUUCUGGGUAUAUGCCCAGUAGAGGAAUUAUAAGAUUGAAUGGCAGAUCUAUUUUUAGAUCUCUAAGUGUUCUCCAUAUAUCUUUCCAAAAGGAAUGUAUUAAUUUGCAUUCCCACCAGCAGUGUAGAAGUGUUCCCUUUUCUCCACAUCCACGCCAACAUCUCUGGUCUUGGGAUUUUGUGAUAUAGCAACAACCGAGGCGACUGCGACAGCGGUGGGGGAUACUGCCGAAUCAAAGAGCACAGACUGGCCACCGGACCUACUUACUCGCCUCGCCGAUUGUCUACUUUUAAGAGUUUACAGCUUUUCUAAGAACUUUUGUAUACCAACGAACUUUCUUAAAAAGAAGGUUUCAAUUUAUAUUUAAUCGAAAGAAGGAGGAUCUCGGGGCAGUUUGGGGGUUUGGGUUUUGGCUUCGUUUCUAAGUUUUUCUUCGUUGAUUUUGGGGUUCGGGUACCCCCCCCGCUAAGGGCUCCGAGGACUUUCUGGGCCCCCACAUUAAUGAGGCAGCCACCUGGCGAGUCUGACAUGGCUGUCAGCGACGCUGCUCCAUCUUUCUCCACGUUUGCCUCCGGCCCUGCGGGAAGGGAGAAGCCACCGCAUCCGGCAGGUGCCCCGAAUAACCGCUGAAGGGAGGAGCUCUCCCACAUGAAGCGACUUCCCCCAGUGCUUCCUGGCCGCCCCUACAACCUGGCGGUGGCGACCGUGACCACAGACCUCGAGAGCGGCGGAGCCAGGGCGGCUUGCUGUGGUAGCAACCCGGCCCUGCUACCCCGGAGGGAGACCGAGGUAUUCAAUGAUAACAAUCUCCUGGACCUAGACUUUAUCCUUUCCAACUCGCUGUCCCAUUCGGAGUCGGUGGCCGCCACCGUGUCCUCAUCGGCGUCAGCUUCAUCCUCGUCCUCCCUUUUGAGCAGCCGCCCUGCCAGCGCCCCUCCACCUGUAGCUUCAGCUAUCUGAUCCCAGCCGAGGGCGACCCGAGCGUGGCGCCUGGCGGCACAGGCGGAGGCCUCUUCUAUAGCUGAGAUCUGCGCCCCCUCCCACAGCUCCCUUGAACCUGGCGGACAUCAACGACGUGAGCCCCUCUGGCGGCUUCGUGGCCGAGCUCUUGAGGUCUGAAUUGGACCCCGUGUACAUUCAGCCGCUGCAGCCGCAGCCGCCAGGUGGCGGGCUGAUGGGCAAGUUUGUGUUGAAGUCGUCGAUGAGCGCCCCUGGCAGUGAGUAUGGCAGUUCCUUGGUCAUCAGUGUUAGCAAAAGCAGCCCUGACGGCAGCCACCCGGUGGUAGUGGCGCCCUACAGUGGCGGGCUUCCGCGUAUGUGCCCUAAGAUCAAGCAGGAGGCAGUCCCCUCCUGCACCGAUGGCCGGCCCCUGGAGGCCCAUUUGGGUGCUGGACCCCCCUCAGUAAUAGCCACUGGCCAACUGCACAUGAUUUCUCCUUGGGGCGGCGCUCCCCAGCAGGACUACCCCAACCCUGGGUCCCGAGGAACUACUGGGCACCAGGGACUGUCACCCUGCCCUGCCGCUGCCCCAGGGCUUCCACCCCCACCCGGGUCCCAACUACCCACCCUUCCUGCCAGACCAGAUGCAGCCACAAGUCCCGCCGCUCCAUUACCAAGAACUCGUGCCACCUGGUUCCUGCAUUUCGGAGGAGCCCAAGCCAAAGAGGGGAAAAAGAUCAUGGCCCCGGAAAAGAACCGCCACCCACACUUGUGAUUACGCGGGCUGUGGCAAAACCUAUACAAAGAGUUCUCAUCUCAAGGCACACCUGUGAACCCACGCAGGUGAGAAACCCUACCUCUGUGAUUGGGAUGGCUGUGGGUGGAAAUUCGCCAGGUCGGAUGAACUGAGGAGGCACUACCGCAAACACACGGGGCACUGCCCGUUCCAGUGCCAGAAGUGUGACCGUGCAUUUUCUAGGUUGGACCACCUCGCCUUACACAUGAAGAGACACUUUUAAGUCUCAAACAGUGGAUAUGACCCACACUGCCAGAAGAGAAUUCAGUAUUUUAUAGCUUUCAUGUUGCCUUCCUGAGGAGGAGGGGAAGAACCCAGCUGGAAAUGGAGACAAUCAUGGUCAAGUUCCCACCUGAGUCAACUUAUGAAUGAGUGAUGAGGAAACAUGAAGAAGCCAAAAGUCAAAAAUCAAAGAACCAAUGGGGUCUGUGACUGGAUCUUCUAUCAUUCCAAUUCUAAAUUCAACUUGAAUAUUCCUGGACUUAACACAAACUCUGAGGGGGUGACUGGAAGUUGUGGCUAUCAGGGUAUAAAUUAGAUCCAUUAGUUGGGGGAGGGAAGACCAGAAUUCCCUUGAAUUGUGUUUAAUGCAAUAUAAGCAUAAAGAUCACCUUGUGUAUUUUUUUUUUUUUUUGCCUUCUAAAAGCCAUUAUUAUGCUAGAAGAAAAGAAAGAAAUUCAGGUACUGAAAAUGUAUUCUAAUAGCCUAAAAAUUGAUGGUGCUUGGUGAGUCUUGGUUCAAAAGGUACCAAACAAGGAAGCCAAAGUUCUCGAACUGCUGCAUACACUGACAAGGAAAAUAAAUCUAUUUUUGUCUUCCAAUCUACAUUUAUGACCUAAGUCAGGUAAAUAUGCCUGGUUUACUUUAAUGUUUUUAUGCAGAAAGUCUGUUAUGCACUGUGGUUUCAGAUGUGCAAUAAUUUGUACAAUGGUUUAUUCCCAAGUAUGCCUUAAGCAGAACAAAUGUUUGUUUUUUUCUAUAUAGUUCCUUGCCUUAAUAAAUAUGUAAUAUAAAUUUAAAACAUAAAAUAAGGGUAGAGUGCCAUGGUGUCAUAGCUCACAGCAACCUCCAGCUCCUG